rfam:Nicotiana sylvestris Nsyl_contig11595, whole genome shotgun sequence.
GCCUCUGUAGUCCAACGAUUAGGAUAGUUGCCUUCCAAGCAAUAGACCCGGGUUGGACUCCAGGCAGAAGCA